rnacentral:rRNA from 1 species
CUGUCUAGUAUAGCAAUUAUACAGCGAAACUGCGAAUGGCUCAUUAAAUCAGUUAUCGUUUAUUUGAUAGUACCUUACUACUUGGAUAACCGUGGUAAUUCUAGAGCUAAUACAUGCUAAAAACCCCGACUCACGAAGGGGUGUAUUUAUUAGAUUAAAAACCAAUGCCCUUCGGGGCUCUUUGGUGAUUCAUAAUAACUUUUCGAAUCGCAUGGCCUUGCGCCGGCGAUGGUUCAUUCAAAUUUCUGCCCUAUCAACUUUCGAUGGCAGGGUCUUGGCCUGCCAUGGUUACAACGGGUAACGGAGGGUUAGGGCUCGACCCCGGAGAAGGAGCCUGAGAAACGGCUACUACAUCCAAGGAAGGCAGCAGGCGCGCAAAUUACCCAAUCCCGAUUCGGGGAGGUAGUGACAAUAAAUACUGAUACAGGGCUCUUUUGGGUCUUGUAAUUGGAAUGAGUACAAUUUAAAUCCCUUAACGAGGAACAAUUGGAGGGCAAGUCUGGUGCCAGCAGCCGCGGUAAUUCCAGCUCCAAUAGCGUAUAUUAAAGUUGUUGCAGUUAAAAAGCUCGUAGUUGAACCUUGGGCCUGGCUGGCCGGUCCGCCUCACCGCGUGCACUGGUUCGGCCGGGCCUUUCCCUCUGGGGAACCUCAUGGUCUUCACUGAUCGUGAUGGGGAACCAGGACUUUUACUGUGAAAAAAUUAGAGUGUUCAAAGCAGGCCUAUGCUCGAAUACAUUAGCAUGGAAUAAUAAAAUAGGACGUGUGGUUCUAUUUUGUUGGUUUCUAGGACCGCCGUAAUGAUUAAUAGGGACAGUCGGGGGCAUCAGUAUUCAAUUGUCAGAGGUGAAAUUCUUGGAUUUAUUGAAGACUAAACUACUGCGAAAGCAUUUGCCAAGGAUGUUUUCAUUAAAUCAGG